GAAUUUUUAGUUUAAUUUAGAAUGUAUCACUUACAAUGAUAGGGUUUAAAAGUUCU
rnacentral:tRNA from 2 species